rnacentral:rRNA from 1 species
UACAGAGGAGCCAAGCGUUGUCCGGAUUGACUGGGCGUAAAGCGCACGCAGGCGGUCUGGCGCGUGGGGUGUGAAAUCUGGCCGCUUAACGGCCAGGCGCCAUCCCAUACGGCGCGACUGGAGUGAUGCAGAGGUCGGUGGAAUUGCCGGUGUAGUGGUGAAAUGCGCAGAUAUCAGGAGGAACACCGGUGGCGAAGGCGGGUCUCUGGGCCGUAACUGACGCUGAGGAGCGAAAGCAUGGGGAGCGAACAGG